CAUUUAAAGUUGUUGAAAAUAUCCUUGUCCCAUCUGGUGGUUGUUUUUGUAAUUGUAUAUCAAUUUAAUUGUGAAAUAAGUUGUUUUAACAUUGGUAAUAAAUCAUUUAAUUUUGACCAAAUGGCAUAAACAAUGAACAAGCCGUUCUUUAAUGUUGCCGACUGUCAUUUUGUGCCCUUUUUUUAUUUAAAAAAUGUGUGUGUGUGU